CGAAUCGUUAACUAUAGUUUACGGUUUGUAAAGUAUAGUUUACAGUCGAUAAACCUAGUUUAUCAAUUGUGAAACUAUGAUUAUCUCAUUUUUGUGAAUUUGGCGUGCCAUAUCUAUCUGUCCGUCCGUCUGUAAACUUUUCACAUUUUCGACUUCUUCUCAAGAACCACUGGGCCAAUUUUGACCAAACUUGGUACAAAGCAUCCUUGGGUGAAGGGAAAUUUAAAUUGUAAAAAUGAAGGGCCAAGUCCCCUCACAAGGGGAGAUAAUCAAGAAAA